rnacentral:lncRNA from 1 species
GCAUGUCUCGUUCCAUCUUCUCUAUCUUCAUCAUCUUCUGAGCUAUCUUCUUCUCCAACCUGCUUGCAUUUAAUAACAUCACAAAACCACAGUUUAAGAGACAGUCUUUGUCUUCUAGUAUCUGGUAAGUGUUUUAGAGACAGUCUUUUUGUAGUAAGUGGAGGAAGGUUUAUUUUAUGUUUUACGUUUCUGGAGUUAUGUUCUUCGUUUUCUUCCCAUCAGAGCCUUCCAAUGGAGCUUUUCCCUUUUUAGCUCUCUCCAGAUUGGUUCUAAGUUCUUUUAGACCCUCCUACAUGUAUGUCAAGAUUAGAUGAUGAACCUUUCUUAAGUUUCAUCAUUAUGUUGGUUAUCUUAUAUACGCAGUUUUUUACCUUAAGCUCUUUGAUUUUUCCAGCCAAUCUCUCGAUUUGUGCACCGUGAGACUUUGAAACAGUACGCUGGUGAUUACAUAUUAUGGCUACCUCCUUGUUUGCUUGCUGAUAAACUACUACUUUCUGGUUAACAUCUCCG